AUACGGAGGGUGCAAGCGUUAAUCGGAAUUACUGGGCGUAAAGCGCGCGUAGGCGGUUUGGUAAGUCGGAUGUGAAAGCCCCGGGCUCAACCUGGGAAUUGCAUUCGAUACUGCCAGACUAGAGUAUGGUAGAGGGAAGUGGAAUUCCGGGUGUAGCGGUGAAAUGCGUAGAUAUCCGGAGGAACACCAGUGGCGAAGGCGACUUCCUGGCCCAAUACUGACGCUGAGGUGCGAAAGCGUGGGGAGCGAACAGGAUUAGAAACCCUAGUAGUCC
rnacentral:rRNA from 1 species